rnacentral:rRNA from 1 species
UACGUAGGGGGCUAGCGUUGUCCGGAAUCAUUGGGCGUAAAGCGCGUGUAGGCGGUCCGGUAAGUCCGCUGUGAAAGUCAAGGGCUCAACCCUUGAAAGCCGGCUGAUACUGCCGGACUAGAGUCCGGAAGAGGCGAGUGGAAUUCCCGGUGUAGCGGUGAAAUGCGCAGAUAUCGGGAGGAACACCAAUGGCGAAGGCAGCUCGCUGGGACGGUACUGACGCUGAGGCGCGAAAGCUAGGGGAGCAAACGGG